rnacentral:rRNA from 1 species
AAUAAGAGGUCCCGCCUGCCCUGUGACUAUAAGUUUAACGGCCGCGGUAUUUUGACCGUGCAAAGGUAGCGCAAUCACUUGUCUUUUAAAUGAAGACCUGUAUGAAUGGCACGACGAGGGCUUAACUGUCUCCUUUUUCUAGUCAAUGAAAUUGAUCUUCCCGUGCAGAAGCGGGAAUGCUAACAUAAGACGAGAAGACCCUAUGGAGCUUUAGACACAAGACAGCCCAUGUUAAACACCCUCCCACUAAGAGACUAAACUAAUUGGAAUCUGCCUUAAUGUCUUUGGUUGGGGCGACCACGGGGAAACACAAAACCCCCAUGUGGACCAGAAACACUUUUUUCUACAACUAAGAGCUACAACUCUAACUAACAGAACUUCUGACCAGUUUUGAUCCGGCAAUGCCGAUCAACGGACCGAGUUACCCUAGGGAUAACAGCGCAAUCCCUUCUUAGAGCCCAUAUCGACGAAGGGGUUUACGACCUCGAUGUUGGAUCAGGACAUCCUAAUGGUGCAGCCGCUAUUAAGGGUUCGUUUGUUCAACGAUUAAUAGUCCU